rnacentral:rRNA from 1 species
UGCAGUCGAGCGGUAGAGAGAAGCUUGCUUCUCUUGAGAGCGGCGGACGGGUGAGUAAUGCCUAGGAAUCUGCCUGGUAGUGGGGGAUAACGUUCGGAAACGGACGCUAAUACCGCAUACGUCCUACGGGAGAAAGCAGGGGACCUUCGGGCCUUGCGCUAUCAGAUGAGCCUAGGUCGGAUUAGCUAGUUGGUGAGGUAAUGGCUCACCAAGGCGACGAUCCGUAACUGGUCUGAGAGGAUGAUCAGUCACACUGGAACUGAGACACGGUCCAGACUCCUACGGGAGGCAGCAGUGGGGAAUAUUGGACAAUGGGCGAAAGCCUGAUCCAGCCAUGCCGCGUGUGUGAAGAAGGUCUUCGGAUUGUAAAGCACUUUAAGUUGGGAGGAAGGGUUGUAGAUUAAUACUCUGCAAUUUUGACGUUACCGACAGAAUAAGCACCGGCUAACUCUGUGCCAGCAGCCGCGGUAAUACAGAGGGUGCAAGCGUUAAUCGGAAUUACUGGGCGUAAAGCGCGCGUAGGUGGUUUGUUAAGUUGGAUGUGAAAUCCCCGGGCUCAACCUGGGAACUGCAUUCAAAACUGACUGACUAGAGUAUGGUAGAGGGUGGUGGAAUUUCCUGUGUAGCGGUGAAAUGCGUAGAUAUAGGAAGGAACACCAGUGGCGAAGGCGACCACCUGGACUAAUACUGACACUGAGGUGCGAAAGCGUGGGGAGCAAACAGGAUUAGAUACCCUGGUAGUCCACGCCGUAAACGAUGUCAACUAGCCGUUGGAAGCCUUGAGCUUUUAGUGGCGCAGCUAACGCAUUAAGUUGACCGCCUGGGGAGUACGGCCGCAAGGUUAAAACUCAAAUGAAUUGACGGGGGCCCGCACAAGCGGUGGAGCAUGUGGUUUAAUUCGAAGCAACGCGAAGAACCUUACCAGGCCUUGACAUCCAAUGAACUUUCUAGAGAUAGAUUGGUGCCUUCGGGAACAUUGAAACAGGUGCUGCAUGGCUGUCGUCACCUCGUGUCUUGGGAUGUUGGGUUAAGUCCCGUAACCAGCGCAACCCUUGUCCUUAGUUACCAG